AUCCAUGACAGGUGGCCAUCCAACUUCUUCUUAAAACCCCCAAUGAAGGUCCACCCCUUCUGAGAGAGUUCCUUUUCACAGUCAGCUCUUACUAUCAGAGAGAAAAUAUAAAAAAGACUUUGGAGAAGACUUCCGGUGUGAUGGCCUAUGGCGUUUGGCUGCUUUCCCAGGACACCGGACCCUAGUCGUGCAAUUAAACAAGGUGAAUCUGGGGGUAAUUAUCCCUGUUGAACCCUGCAGGGAUGGGGCGCACAUGCCAUCCGAUAUCUGCUGCUCGCUACAGUGGAGGCAGGGGCGCUGGGUGUUUAGCAUUGCACGAAUUGGAAAAUCUCCAAUGCCAACGCCAUGAGCGGGAGCAUUCCUGUUUUUCAGCAAAGAUUUGAAUUUGGACUUUGAAAGGACUUUUGUCGCUCUGCUACAGAAGAUGUGAAGUGAGCGUCUCAUCUUUGCUUAUACUUGCUACUGUUGGGCCAACGCCCUCCUCAUUUGUCCGAAUGGUGAGGAACUUCGCCCGUAGUAGCAGAGUACAGCAGAAGCAGACUCUGGCUGGAAAGCAGCAUCGAGAAGAUAAGAAGGCAACAGAGCGACAGAGCUGACUCACGCAGCCGUAUCCUUCAGCAAAAGCCAGAUGCAAGGACCAGAGGGGAGGAGGAGGGAGAUAUAGAAAUCGCUCCCGUUCUCACACAACAAUACAUUAGGUAAUUAGGCAAUUAAAGGCACAGUGUCACACUGUGCAAUGAAAGAAUGAAACACUGCAGUACUGCCAGCUACUUCAUGAUUUGGCAAGCCUCGU